rnacentral:sRNA from 1 species
GCCCCUAACCACCAACUCUUCCACUACCAUCUACCAAACGGGACCCUGCGGUUGGAGUAGUUGCCUCUGGUCAAGAGCUUUUAGAUGCGAUCUACACUACUGUGGCCCUGCCCAUUCUGUCAUCACUUCCAUUGAAACGCUCUGCUGUCAAGAGCGUUUCUCUGCUCCACGGUGCAGCAAUACAACCACUGUUUACUUAUCCUGUCGCUGUUAGGUCUUACCCCUCCUCCAACAACGAUGCAGCGCGUCCUUGCGUUCUUUGGGCAGGACUACUUCAACUCUAUAUACCACGGUGAUAAUUAUUUCAUAUUUGAAAUGCCCGCUUUUCUCUUGUAGGAACAGGCGCACUUUGAUAGUGAAGUCUUUCACAAGAAAUAUUGUAGUCAUAGAGUUUCUUAUAUGAUGCUUUAACAAAGAUACCCUCAACACCAGCUUGCAUGUGUUCGUCACAGCAUUCAUUAUCUCAUUUGCUUUUGUUAAAAGGAGUGAUAUACCGCAUGCUUAGGUUCUAUAUAUUGGUUUUAUUCUCUUCUCCUUUUAGAAAGACCUAACAACUUCAACAUCUCUCUCUCUCAUAGGUCUGUCCCUAUCAUUGACCAAUUUGAAAUACAGACUGCAAUCUCUCAGUGAUUAUAUCCAGAUCUACAUACACAGUUCUAUUCCUAGCGGCAACAUGGUGAUCUCUGAUAAAAAAGAAGCUGGCAUCGCAAAUGAAGCUGUACUCUCUACCAUGACAUGUGUUGAAAUCGGAGGAUUGCCUGCCAUGGAGUCAAACCCCCCAGUUCUAGAUGUAAGUUGCCCUCCUUCGACUCAGACUCCUUAAAUCAUAUAUUUCGUUAAUAUCAUUCCUAUCCUAGGAUUUCAAAGUCGUAGCGAACUCCUUCGACAGUCUCAGCAUCACCAAUACCGGCACCAAAAGCAAUGACACCACAGACGACGAAAUUGCUACCCCCGAGAAUGACGUCGAGCAUGAGCAGGAAAACAACAACUCC